AUUGAACGCUGGCGGCAUGCCUUACACAUGCAAGUCGAACGGCAGCACGGGUGCUUGCACCUGGUGGCGAGUGGCGAACGGGUGAGUAAUACAUCGGAACAUGUCCUGUAGUGGGGGAUAGCCCGGCGAAAGCCGGAUUAAUACCGCAUACGAUCUACGGAUGAAAGCGGGGGACCUUCGGGCCUCGCGCUAUAGGGUUGGCCGAUGGCUGAUUAGCUAGUUGGUGGGGUAAAGCCCUACCAAGGCGACGACCAGUAGCUGGUCUGAGAGGACGACCAGCAACACAGGGGUAGAGACCGGCCCGCAAUCAAUAAGGGAGGCAGGAGGGGGAAAUUUCGGAAAAUGGGCAAAAGAUUUACCGAAAAAUGCAGCGUGUGGGAAGAGGGCCUCGGGGUUGUAAAAACCUUUUGUCAGAAAAGAAAUCAUUGGCCUAAAAGCGGGCGGGGGAUGACGAUACCGAAAAAAAAAGCCCCGGAAAAUUAGGA
rnacentral:rRNA from 1 species